AUUGCUAUGACCCUCCCCCCCUACUACUAGUUUAAAAUCUCCUCCAACCUUCUAGCCAUCCUAUCCCCCAGCACUGCAGACCCUCUCCCGUUUAGGUGCAAUCCAUCACCACUAUAAAGGUUGUACCCAAUCGCAAAGUCGGCCCAGUGCUCUAAAAACCCAAAACCCUCCUUCCUGCACCAAGACUUAAGCCACGCAUUGACCUGGAACACAUGCUGGAAGCCCAGCAGGCUCAUAAAAACAGCUAUAACCGUAAUGCUAGAGUCAGAGUGUUCCAACCUGGAGACAGGGUCUUGGUUCUGGUCCCUACUGUCAAGAACACGUUCCUUGCGACUUGGCAUGGACCAUAUGAAAUAAUAGAAAAAGUGAGUGAUGUCAAUUAUAAAGUCAGACAACCAGGAAGAAGAAAGCCUGAACAGUUGUAUCAUAUAAAGCUUUUAAAGCCUUGGAAAGACAGGGAGGUCCUAGUUGCUUAAAAACCUUUUAGCACCUCCUAUAGUAGAGCCAGAGGUGAACCUAUCUGAGACUCUGUCUGUACAUCAGAAGCAAGAGGUCAGAGAUUUCAGCAGAAGAAAUAGGAAUGUUUUCUUGGUAGUUCCAGGAAAGACUAAGGCGAUUAAACAUGACAUAACUGAACCAGGGAAAAGGGUUAAUCUCAAACCUUAUAGAAUCCCUGAGGCCCGGAGGGAGGCUAUAAACUUAGAAGUUGAAAUUUUUUUAAAACUUGGAGUGAUUGAAGAGUCCCAGAGUGAUUGGAGCAGACCUACUGUAUUGGUGCCAAAACCUUAUGGCACCUGGAGGUUCUGUUAUGAUUACAGAAGUAAUGCAGAGUGAGGGAGAAAGUGCCAGAGGAAUGGUGUGUCUUGCAACCAUAUUUUGUUAUUGUAAAUUGGUAAAUGGG